GUGGGGAAUAUUGGGCAAUGGGCGAAAGCCUGACCCAGCAACGCCGCGUGAAGGAAGAAGGCUUUCGGGUUGUAAACUUCUUUUGUCAGGGACGAAAAAAAUGACGGUACCUGACGAAUAAGCCACGGCUAACUACGUGCCAGCAGCCGCGGUAAUACGUAGGUGGCAAGCGUUAUCCGGAUUUACUGGGUGUAAAGGGCGUGUAGGCGGGAAAGCAAGUCAGAUGUGAAAACUAUGGGCUCAACCCAUAGCCUGCAUUUGAAACUGUUUUUCUUGAGUACUGGAGAGGCAGAUGGAAUUCCUAGUGUAGCGGUGAAAUGCGUAGAUAUUAGGAGGAACACCAGUGGCGAAGGCGAUCUGCUGGACAGCAACUGACGCUGAGGCGCGAAAGCGUGGGGAGCAAACAGGAUUAGAAACCCGAGUAGUCA
rnacentral:rRNA from 1 species